AUCACUAAGCGGAGGAAAAGAAACUAACGAGGAUUCCCUUAGUAGCGGCGAGCGAACCGGGAAGAGCCCAGCUUGAAAAUCGCGCCGUUCCGCGGACGCGUUGUAGUCUGGAGAAGCGUCCUCUGCAGCGGACCCGGCCUAAGUUCCCUGGAAAGGGGCGUCGGAGAGGGUGAGAACCCCGUCGGGCCGGGACCCUGCUGCUCCACGAGGCGCUGUCGACGAGUCGGGCUGUUUGGGAAUGCAGCCCUAAGCGGGAGGUAAAUUCCUUCCAAGGCUAAAUAUCGGCGGGAGACCGAUAGCGAACAAGUACCGCGAGGGAAAGAUGAAAAGGACUUUGAAAAGAGAGUUAAAAAGUGCUUGAAAUUGCUGGGAGGGAAGCGAAUGGAGGCCUCGUGUGCGCCCCGGUCGGAUGCGGAACGGCGUGAAGCUGGUCCGGCCUCGACGCGGGGCGUUGGUCGGCGUGGGCUUCCCCGGCGGGAUAAAAGUCGGCCUUCGCGGCCGGCCGAUGCCGUCGGGGAGGCCGAGGAACCUUUGGAAGCGCGCGCCUCCGGGGGCGGGCCCUUCGGGGGCACCCGCGCGCUCGGGACGUCGGCGCAGUGGGCUU
rnacentral:rRNA from 1 species